GUUCGUCUGCAGUCUGCAAAAAUUUAUAGGAACUUGCGAAGCGUUUGUAGGCUUUUUCUAACUCAGCGUUAAACGGUUAUACUUUAACUGCCAUACCUGUGUUUUUCAUGGAUGUCCCGCCCCCUUAACACGUGAUUAAAACGAAGAAGUCAAGUGAAAUCAAGUCAUGGAAAUGUUUGAAAAAUCCCAGGAUUCCAAGGACACAUCGGAACAAAAAGUGAAACGUGAAAGUUGCCUGUCACUUGGGUUACCAAAAUUGUCUCUGCCUUUUUAAGUUCAGUGUUGCUGUUCAGUUUGUGUAGAAAUGAACAGUGAAGACAAAUACCUGAUGAAGUGAAACCGAGCAUUCACUGUCAAAAAAACCUUAAUUGAAUUGGAAUUAGGAACACUGCGGAAUCUUCGCCAGGCAGCCCAGUUUUUACCCCCAUAGAGGAGAUUUCACCAAUAGAAAAUUGGAGACUAGUGAUUGAUUGAGUGACCGAGAGUUUGAGAUAAGACUUAGAUUGGGUUUUUUUUUAGUAAAAAAACAUUUGCUGUGUAUGGAUUACCUUAUUUCUCUUCCCAGCUUCUGUUUGAUUUUGUCUAUAUUUUCAGGUUCAUUUUGGUGAGCAACAACUAAUGUAAACAGCAUUGCAAUUCGUCCAACAAAAAUGCAUCAACAGCCAGCAUCAACAGAAGGAUGAUUUCUCAAAGAAAUUAUCCAUACACCGAACAGAUACAUAAAUUCAGACGUAGGCAUGGGCGGCUUUGCAGUGUCAUGACUCUAGUCCUUUCAUUGAGGUGCAUUCACGUAGGAACUUGGAAGUCGUCCAGUGUAGCUCCGGAAAAGAAUACUUAUUCGCUCUUAUAAAUCUUACAGCGAAAAAUGUCAACGAAAUUUCGCCCUUAAAUGCAGUUCUAAUCCUCAAGUCGACCAUCAGUUACACUGGCGAUGACAUCACUAACAAGUAACAACAUGAUUUCUGCCACCCACCAUGCCAGCCAGUUCUCCCAAUCAUUAGUGUAUCUGAAGCAAUAAUAAAAUUAUUGAAAUUCUAUGGGUGCCAAUCCCUGCAGUUCCCGCUUCUCAAUAGGAAGCACACAACAAACUUCCAAUGACAGUUAAUUUCAGCAAGGACAUCAAUAACAAAGAAGAAGUUGUUUAAUAUUUAUCAUGCUAUUAUAAAAAUGUGCCUAUAAGAGACCCAGAACAAAUGUGAAGUAUUUGGUGCACCAAAGAAAGAAGAAAAGACACUAAUGCCCUUACGUUAAACGCGGAUCAAGCAAUCGCGCAUAAAUGAAAGUUUAUGUUCCCGAAGAUACUAUCCGAUGUGGCAUGUUGUUGCAGCCUAUGUUGGCGAAACAUUUUUUUGCAUCGAAGUUAGCCUGUGGCUGUUCCCUGGUGCUGGUGUUGAGUUAGUUACGGAAGUUGCAACCAGUAUUUUGUCAAUUGUCAUUGUGUCUGGAGUUAUUACCGUUUAUGUGAUAAGAAGAAACAGAAAUAUGGGGAGUUUAUAUGUCAAACAAAUAAUGAAUAAACCGUCGCGAUUGGGAAAGCAACGAG